rnacentral:rRNA from 1 species
UACGUAGGGGGCAAGCGUUGUCCGGAUUUAUUGGGCGUAAAGAGCGUGUAGGCGGCUAGCCAGGUCCGUUGUGAAAACUCGAGGCUCAACCUCGAGAUGUCGAUGGAAACCGUCUGGCUAGAGUCCGGAAGAGGGGACUGGAAUUCCCGGUGUAGCGGUGGAAUGCGCAGAUAUCGGGAGGAACACCCGUGGCGAAGGCGGGUCCCUGGGACGGUACUGACGCUGAUGCGCGAAAGCGUGGGGAGCAAACGGG